UUCUUACCUAACGCAGGUCUAGAGUGCGUUUUACCUUGUUUGAGGGACCUAUCGUUAUCAUCUCUUGAUCCAGCUACACGACUGUUUCACACACGGCCACAGACCUCCCUGUGGCUAUUUGCGUAACUGAGCUGGGAAGUCUAUAACCUGUCAUCUUUGGGGCCAAGAAAUGAAGAGACUGAAAGAAUACAUUUGUGUGGACUUCCCUGGCCAUCCAGUGGUUAAGACCCUGCACUUCCAAAGCAAGGGGUGCAGGUUCGGUUCCUGGUCGAGGAGCCCAGGUCCAACAUUCCGUGAAGCACAGCCAAAAGAAAAAGAAACACAUUUGCUUGACAGCAGUCUCAUGAGAUCAUCCCUACCGAAGCAAUUAUUUUGGCUUCCCUUCUUGAGCCUUGAAAACCUGCAGAAAAUCUGCGGGGAUAGAAAUUACUAAGAGUUUCUUCUGUUUCCGGCAUUAUUGAAGCUAAGUUACUCCAGGCAACCUUCCCUCUGAAAUGACUGAACAUGCUGGAUAAGGUUUUUAAAAGUCAUUGACGAUGCAUCACUGAACCAGUGAUAAAGAAAGGCAUCCAUAGAGAGCAGACAUCCGGUGAGAGCAGGAACGUGGAGAUG
ensembl:lncRNA